rnacentral:rRNA from 1 species
GACGAACGCUGGCGGCGUGCCUAACACAUGCAAGUCGAGCGGAGAUGUACUGAAGAUUUAUCGGAUGUACAUCUUAGCGGCGGACGGGUGAGUAACGCGUGGGCAACCUGCCUUCCACUGGGGGAUAACACAGGGAAACCUGUGCUAAUACCGCAUGACAUCACAUAGGGCAUCCUGUGUGAUCAAAGGAGUGAUCCGGUGGAAGAUGGGCCCGCGUCCGAUUAGCUAGUUGGUGAGGUAACGGCUCACCAAGGCGACGAUCGGUAGCCGGACUGAGAGGUUGGACCGGCCACGAUUGGGACUGAGACACGGCCCAGACUCCUACGGGAGGCAGCAGUGGGGAAUAUUGCGCAAUGGGGGGAACCCUGACGCAGCGACGCCGCGUGAAGGAAGAAGGCCUUCGGGUUGUAAACUUCUUUGAUGAGGGACGAAGGAAGUGACGGUACCUCAAAACAAGCCACGGCUAACUACGUGCCAAGCAGCCGCGGUAAUAGUACUCUA